rnacentral:rRNA from 1 species
AGGACGAACGCUGGCGGCGCGCCUAACACAUGCAAGUCGAACGAGCGAGAGAGAGCUUUGCUUUCUCGAGCGAGUGGCGAACGGGUGAGUAACGCGUGAGGAACCUGCCUCAAAGAGGGGGACAACAGUUGGAAACGACUGCUAAUACCGCAUAAGCCCACGGUGCCGCAUGGCACAGAGGGAAAAGGAGCAAUCCGCUUUGAGAUGGCCUCGCGUCCGAUUAGCUAGUUGGUGAGGUAACGGCCCACCAAGGCGACGAUCGGUAGCCGGACUGAGAGGUUGAACGGCCACAUUGGGACUGAGACACGGCCCAAACUCCUACGGGAGGCAGCAGUGGGGAAUAUUGCACAAUGGGCGAAAGCCUGAUGCAGCGACGCCGCGUGAGCGAAGAAGUAUUUCGGUAUGUAAAGCUCUAUCAGCAGGGAAGAUAAUGACGGUACCUGACUAAGAAGCACCGGCUAAAUACGUG